rnacentral:rRNA from 1 species
CAAGCGUUGUCCGGAAUUAUUGGGCGUAAAGAGCUCGUAGGCGGUUUGUCGCGUCUGCUGUGAAAACUCGAGGCUCAACCUCGGGCUUGCAGUGGGUACGGGCAGACUAGAGUGCGGUAGGGGUGACUGGAAUUCCUGGUGUAGCGGUGGAAUGCGCAGAUAUCAGGAGGAACACCGAUGGCGAAGGCAGGUCACUGGGCCGCAACUGACGCUGAGGAGCGAAAGCAUGGGGAGCGAACAGGAUUAGAUACCCUGGUAGUCCAUGCCGUAAACGUUGGGCACUAGGUGUGGGGCUCAUUCCACGAGUUCCGUGCCGCAGCAAACGCAUUAAGUGCCCCGCCUGGGGAGUACGGCCGCAAGGCUUAAAACUCAAAGAAAUUGACGGGGGCCCGCACAAGCGGCGGAGCAUGCGGAUUAAUUCGAUGCAACGCGAAGAACCUUACCAAGGCUUGACAUACACCGGAAACUUCCAGAGAUGGUUGCCCCGCAAGGUCGGUGUACAGGUGGUGCAUGGUUGUCGUCAGCUCGUGUCGUGAAGAUGUUGGGUUAAGUCCCGCAACGAGCGCAACCCUCGUCCUAUGUUGCCAGCACGUGAUGGUGGGGACUCAUAGGAGACUGCCGGGGUCAACUCGGAGGAAGGUGGGGAUGACGUCAAAUCAUCAUGCCCCUUAUGUCUUGGGCUUCACGCAUGCUACAAUGGCCGGUACAAAGGGCUGCGAUACCGCAAGGUGGAGCGAAUCCCAAAAAGCCGGUCUCAGUUCGGAUUGGGGUCUGCAACUCGACCCCAUGAAGUCGGAGUCGCUAGUAAUCGCAGA